AUAUCACUCGAUGAACUGCCAAAGACAGUAGGUGCUGAAAAGCGUAAGGUUAAAACGCCUACCGAGGAGAGAAUCGUAUGAAGUAUUGAUUAUGUACAUCGAUCCCGGUCUCUGAGCAGACCGGGAUUUUUUCAUCGUUUGA
rfam:Clostridium sp. CAG:632 genomic scaffold, scf108